UACAGAGGUGGCAAGCGUUGAUCGGAUUCAUUGGGCUUAAAGCGCAUGUAGGCGGCUCCGCAAGUACUUCGUGAAAUCCCUCGGCUUAACCGGGGAACUGCCUGGUAUACUGCGGAGCUCGAGGCAGGUAGAGGCGCCUGGAACUCUAGGUGGAGCGGUGAAAUGCGUAGAUAUCUAGGGGAACGCCAGUGGCGAAAGCGGGGCGCUGGGCCUGUCCUGACGCUGAGAUGCGAAAGCGUAGGGAGCAAACGGG
rnacentral:rRNA from 1 species